GGUUAAGUCCGCGUACGGACAGAGCCGCAGCGAAAGCGAGUCUGAAUAGGGCGAAAGUCAGUGGGGAUAGACGCGAAACCUAGUGAUCUACACAUGGCCAGGUUGAAGGUGCCGUAACAGGUACUGGAGGACCGAACUGAUUAGCGUUGAAAAGCUACCGGAUGAGUUGUGUGUAGGGGUGAAAGGCUAAUCAAACUGGGAGAUAGCUCGUACUCCCCGAAAUGUUUUUAGGAACAGCCUCGUACUUAUUGUCAUAGAGGUAGAGCUACCGAUUGGACUAGGGGGCUUCACCGCCUACCAAAUCCUGACGAACUCCGAAUGCUAUGACAUCUAUACGGGGAGUGAGGCGUGGGGUGCUAAGGUCACACGCCGAGAGGGAAAUAACCCAGACCAUCAGCUAAGGUCCCUAAAAUAUGCUAAGUUGAACAAACGCAGUUUGACCGCUAUAACAGCCAGGAUGUUUGCUUGGAAGCAGCAAUUCAUUUAAAGAGUGCGUAACAGCUCACUGGUCGAGUGGUCGGGCACGGAAAAUAA
rnacentral:rRNA from 1 species